rnacentral:rRNA from 1 species
CUGCUAAUACCGCAUACGACCUACGGCUGGCAUCAAUCGUAGGUGAAAGGUGGCCUCUACAUGUAAGCUAUCGUUGUAGGAGGGGAUUGCGUCUGAUUAGCUAGUUGGAGGGGUAACGGCCCACCAAGGCGAUGAUCAGUAGCCGGUCUGAGAGGAUGAACGGCCACAUUGGGACUGAGACACGGCCCAAACUCCUACGGGAGGCAGCAGAC